CAGCGCCGGGGAAUACGAAGGGUGCAAGCGUUACUCGGAAUUACUGGGCGUAAAGCGUGCGUAGGUGGUGGUUUAAGUCCGUUGUGAAAGCCCUGGGCUCAACCUGGGAAUUGCAGUGGAUACUGGGUCACUAGAGUGUGGUAGAGGAUAGUGGAAUUUCCGGUGUAGCAGUGAAAUGCGUAGAGAUCGGAAGGAACAUCUGUGGCGAAGGCGACUAUCUGGGCCAACACUGACACUGAGGCACGAAAGCGUGGGGAGCAAACAGGAUUAGAUACCCCCGUAGUCCCUGUCUCUUAUACAC
rnacentral:rRNA from 1 species